rnacentral:rRNA from 1 species
CCAAUAGCGUAUAUUAAAGUUGUUGCAGUUAAAAAGCUCGUAGUUGAAUUUCGGGAUCAGUUGGUCGGUCGUGCUUCGGUACGUACUGGUCAAAUUGAUUCCUACCUUCUGACGAACCACGAUGUCAUUAAUUUGGUGUCGCGGGAAAUCAGGACUGUUACUUUGAAAAAAUUAGAGUGUUUAAAGCAGGCUCGCGCUUGAAUACAUUAGCAUGGAAUAAUGAAAUAGGACGUUUGAUUCUAUUUUGUUGGUUUCUAGGAUCGACGUAAUGAUUAAUAGUGAUAGUUGGGGGCAUUAAUAUUCAAUUGUCAGAGGUGAAAUUCUUGGAUUUAUUGAAUACUAACUACUGCGAAAGCAUUUGCCAAGGAUGUUUUCAUUAAUCAAGAACGAAAGUUAGGGGAUCGAAGACGAUCAGAUACCGUCGUAGUCUUAACCAUAAACUAUGCCGACUAGGGAUCGGAUGAUGUUAAUUUUUUAAUGACUCAUUCGGCGCCUUACG